ACAUUCGUGGCUUAGAGACACACGGAUGUAUUUUCUUACAGGUCCCCAGUCUGAAAUGGGUUUCACUGCGCCAAAUUCAAGGUGUCCGCAGGGCUGCAUUCUUUUUGGAGGCUCUACGGGAGAAUCCACUUCCUUGCUUUCUCCAGCUUCUAGAAACUCUGCUUCCCGUGGCUCAUGGCCUUCCUUCAUCUUCGAAGACAGCAGGGCCGGCAAGCCACGUCCUUCUCCUACUGCCAUCUCCACUCUCUCCUGCCUCUCCUCCAUGCUGAAGGACACUUGCUAUUACAUUGGGACCCCUCAGAAAAUGCAGGAUAAGCUUUCUAUGUUAAAAUCAGCUGAUUAGCCGCCUUCAUCGCAUCUGCUACCUUCGCUCCCCUCUGCCAAGUAAUGUGACCUAUUCCCCGGCUGCAGGCAUUAGGACGUGAACACAUCCAGGGGGAGGCACCAUUCUACCUACCACAGGAGAAGCUGCAAGAGCAGCAAGCCCCAAGAGCAAAAAGGAUGCACUGGCUUGGACGCUUAAGGGAGAGUCCCAGACUGUGCCCUCCCACCCUCGGCAGAGCCUGGCCUUUCCCAAGAGCAGGGACGUCUGAUCUCGAGCUAGUGCCGGAGCCAGAGGGAGCCUCUCAGCUCAUCUGUUCCUUACCUGGGGACAAAGCUGGAUGGACUGAAAGGAAAAAACGCACGUGGAAGCUUCCUGCUACAUGGCAAUGGCUCCUGGCCCAUUACCUCAUCCUCAAAGCUAGCAAAAUUGGGCCAACUGUUUUCUCUGGGGGAGCACUAACCCGUAUCACAUCAUGACAUCUAGCCUACCUUCUUGGAGUUAAACUUCCUUUCUUUUACAAAAUCAUGUUGAUACUAGAGGGCAGUUCGUGUAUACCUACGGUGGAAUAAAUGAUCGGCAUCUGCGCAGUAAGGGUUUAACUCAGCAGGCCUGGGUUGCUCGGAUGCUGCACGUUCCAAAGAAAGGACUGGCCGGCCCUUGACCACUUCUUGGGAGACAGAUAACCUCUGAGCCUCUGGAAUAUCCCGCCUAAUAGCAGCUUCUGUGUGUCUGGGGCCCUGGGCCGCACUGUAUUGGUUUGCCCAGCCGGGUGACAGUAACAAUAUGACUUAUGGAGAAUUCUUGUUUGGGAACGCUGAAGGCCCCAGGCCAUGCUGUAUCAGUGGCCCUCUUGGGGCCCGGAGACUGAGCGGCUAAGGUCAGUCACACUGGUGCUGCGUUCUUAUGUGACCAACAUCCAAUAAAAACUCUGGACACCAAGGCUCGGGUGAGCUUGCCUGGCUGGUACUCUGCACGCGUUCUUGCACUUAGCGCUGGAAGUAAUCCUGUCCCAUGUGACCCCACUGCCUGGGGGUGGAGGCGCACCCGGCAGCUCAUGCCUGGGGGCUCCUGGGGGUUCUUGGACGCUUUUCUCUCCACUGAUGUGGCUCUAUAUCCUUUCAUUAAAAUAAGUGGUAACUGCGA